CGCUGGGCACUCGUGUAUCGUGACCAGGCGAUUUCGCUCGUCAAACUUUCCUCUGGGAAAUACGCGAGAUUUUUUUUCAUAAAUUCGUGAUUUUCUCUUGUGAAUUUUUAAAAAUAAAUUAAUGAAAUUAUUUUUUGUUGUGGUGAUGUGAAUUUGACUGGUGUUUAUUUGUAAUUAAUGAGUUUAAUUAAGGUGAUGAGAGGAACGCAGUUUUUGCCGAUCUAGCCCCAGGGACUCCAAUGAGGCGUUUCCUGGCAUAGAUAACCUGCUCAGCGGGUAGGAUGCGGCGGCAUGCACCGCAUCGUGCUACUAAUGGCGGUGCUUGCCAAGGCUGUUUCGCCACAGACCAGUGCCAUAGUUCCAAGCACUGAACCAAGCAUCUCCACCACCAUGGCGCCCCCACCGACGGUGUUUCGCAACCCUCGGCCUGUC